UCGUGAUUUAGUUGAAUGAAUGUGUAAAAACUAAAAUGUUUUACACCGUCGGUGCAUAACAAUUAAAUUCUAAAUAAUAAUCUUAACAAAAAAAAUGAACGGCUACAUUCUCCACUCCCCAUUGAAAACAAUGGAAGAGAUUCUAUUCCUAUCCCUUCCCUCCCCUCCAAACUUUCCUUUUCUGAUACCUCUCAACUCAAAUAAAAGUUCCUGAUACAAACUUUCAACCCCUAGUGAAAUAUAACACUCAAUCUUGUAUUAAAACAUUGUUUUCAACAAAACAUUUCUAGUGUUAAAUACACUUAAGCUUUAUUGAAGAGUUUAUAAGAUAUCUCGUCACAAUACCUACUACCCAAGGCUUAUCUGAUUAAUAACACCAGAUUCAUUUCUAAAGUCCAAAAUCUAUUUUGAGGGAGAUUAUUAAAGAAGAUUCAUAGAAACGCCUAGAUGAUGAUCA
rnacentral:lncRNA from 1 species